rnacentral:rRNA from 1 species
UAACGCGAAGAACCUUACCUGGUCUUGACAUACACAGAAUCUUGUAGAGGUACGAGAGUGCCUUCGGGAAUUGUGAUACAGGUGCUGCAUGGCUGUCGUCAGCUCGUGUCGUGAGAUGUUGGGUUAAGUCCCGCAACGAGCGCAACCCUUGUCCUUAGUUACCAGCACUUCGGGUGGGAACUCUAAGGAUACUGCCAGUGACAAACUGGAGGAAGGCGGGGACGACGUCAAGUCAUCAUGGCCCUUACGACCAGGGCUACACACGUGCUACAAUGGUAGGUACAGAGGGCAGCUACACAGCGAUGUGAUGCGAAUCUCAAAAAGCCUAUCGUAGUCCAGAUUGGAGUCUGCAACUCGACUCCAUGAAGUAGGAAUCGCUAGUAAUCGCGGAUCAGAAUGCCGCGGUGAAUACGUUCCCGGGUCUUGUACACACCG